rnacentral:rRNA from 1 species
AUUGAACGCUGGCGGCAGGCUUAACACAUGCAAGUCGAGCGGGGGAAGGUAGCUUGCUACCGGACCUAGCGGCGGACGGGUGAGUAAUGCUUAGGAAUCUGCCUAUUAGUGGGGGACAACAUCUCGAAAGGGAUGCUAAUACCGCAUACGUCCUACGGGAGAAAGCAGGGGAUCUUCGGACCUUGCGCUAAUAGAUGAGCCUAAGUCGGAUUAGCUAGUUGGUGGGGUAAAGGCCUACCAAGGCGACGAUCUGUAGCGGGUCUGAGAGGAUGAUCCGCCACACUGGGACUGAGACACGGCCCAGACUCCUACGGGAGGCAGCAGUGGGGAAGUUUGGACAAUGGGGGGAACCCUGAUCCAGCCAUGCCGCGUGUGUGAAGAAGGCCUUAUGGUUGUAAAGCACUUUAAGCGAGGAGGAGGCUACUUUAGUUAAUACCUAGGGAUAGUGGACGUUACUCGCAGAAUAAGCACCGGCUAACUCUGUGCCAGCCGCCGCGGUAA